UUCAAUUGUGUGUUCAUUAUCGCAACCUUCAACCUGUAGUCCGCUGAACCGCACGUCCUUCCCUCUUCCUCCACCCUAACUUCUUUGCCACCUUCUUCUCCUUUUCCUCCACUCUCUUUCUCAAACCAACUUCUAUUACUCUGUUCACCAACACUGUUGCUGUUGCUUCCUAUCUCUCUACGGACACCUCUUCUGCCAUCUCAUUUGACGAGCUCGAUCGCCUUUGUGCCGCCAAAGACUCCUGGCGAUUACAAAGCCAUUUCUGACGAAGUUUAUUUGGGAGCUAACGGAGGAGACACUGAAAAGGCAUCUGCCAUUGACAAAUACUUUGAGAAGGACACAGUUAAUGAACAACAUUCUGAGCCAUCCGACUAUUGGAGUGAUUGGACUCUUCUAGGAGCAAUUUAAUUUAAAAGGUUUUGAUGAAUCUUGGGAGCAUUGAAGAAGUGGAGAAAGUGGAAAAGGUUAGUGAUCGUGAAAAUUUUGCAAGGGUAGUUAGAAGGUCUGAAUUAAGUGCUAGCCAUGAGAACCAUUCAAAGUUCAAUCGGUAAGUCUAUGACUUGCAAUUGUAAUUGUCACAUUUAUAUUCUUUUGUGACCGAGGAGCUUUUUCAUGUUUGUGUAUCAUAACUGAUAAUUAUUAAGUGGUAUGUUAUUUAUACAUCUAUUUCAACCAUAAUUUAGAACCUACAUCUAAUUUUGUUGAUAUUAGUUGUGACUUCAAAGUUAUACGGGAGGGGGGCAGGUGUUGAAGGAUUUAAUGUUAGUUAUUUUUCUUACUUUGUUGUGAUAUAUUGAGCCAUAUAUUAUGUACUAAUAAUCAGUUGAAGUAGAUUAGAUUUCUCUCUUUUUUGGCUAGGACUGGAAGAAGUUCGAGGUAUGUUCUCUUACAAUAUCAUUUUUCUUGAUUUCUAGGAAGAUAUUCGAUGAAUAACGUAUGAAAAUGAUGUUAAAAAUUACAUGAAUAACAUUGUGGUUUAUAGAGAUGCUAAAGCAUGUGUAAGCAUUUGUAAUUUGGCUAAAAAUUGGUACCUUGUGUUGACAUUACAAAAGGGUAAAACCUUCUUAUAUUGUUAUCAUUGUCAACAUUGAUGUGUAAAGUUGUUGUCUAAAAUUAUUUUUUGUUUUCUUACUAGGUUUUGCAAAAGCCCAUUGGAGUAGUGAAGCCAUAAAACAAUCGAUUGAUUUAUAAGAUUUUUUUGUAGGGUUAGUGGCAAAAUUUUGGUUACAAUGUAUUUAUUUUAAGCUUUUUUGUAGAUUAUACUUAGCUAGCUUAUUGUAAAACCUUUACAAAUGGUUAUUUAGUCGACCUCUUUGUAAAAACACUAUGAACUUUUUCAUUAUAUAUAUAUGAAUGUCCUUUAUAUUUA